GAAAUGCGAUAAGUAAUGUGAAUUGCAGAAUUCAGUGAAUCAUCGAAUCUUUGAACGCACAUUGCGCCCGCUAGUACUCUAGCGGGCAUGCCUGUUCGAGCGUCAUUUCAACCCUCAAGCCCUGCUUGGUGUUGGGGCCCUACGGCUGCCGUAGGCCCUGAAAGGAAGUGGCGGGCUCGCUACAACUCCGAGCGUAGUAAUUCAUUAUCUCGCUUAGGGUGUUGUGCGGUGCUCCAGCCGUUAAAGACCAUCUUUAACUCAAGGUUGACCUCGGAUCAGGUAGGAAUACCCGCUGAACUUAA
rnacentral:misc_RNA from 1 species